ensembl:lncRNA
UCUACACUUACAACAUUUGCAUGUGUCAAUUAGCAAAUUGAGUCAGUUAUGAAUGGUAGUAAUUCACAGUCAGAGCAGAAAGAAUAUGUUGGUGCACACACUUUAAAGAGUGAAGUAACUGUUUAACUGCAUGGGCAUAGAUGCAGGUUUGUCAUUUACAUUACUAUCUAACCAAAUGUGGGCAGAGAUAUAACCUGAAGCUCGUCUAUCUGCUGAAUCCACAGUGAACUUCAUUUCAGCUGCACUUCACAGAGCGUCACAGCUAUGUUGAAACUCAGUGGAUUUUGGCUUAUUGUUCAGCUGUCUCUGGCAGCAGGAAUAAACUCUGACUGGAAUGUUCAAAGGAAUCAAUCCACCUUCAUUCCAGAACACUGGGAAAAUGACACAAAAUACAGCCAUCAAACGAUAGUAAUCAUGGAAGAGGAACCUGCAGUGAUUGAGUCAGCCACUUACCUGUUCCAGAAGCAUCCCAGUUCAUCAAAUCUGCUAAUGUACCAUAAGAGGGCACUGUACGUUCUGCAAGGAAGCAAUUUGUUUUCGACUAGAAAUCAUGACAUUGUACUGGUUGGCCAUGGUAGUCAAAGCCCUACUGGAGCAGCCCAGUUGGCUGGUUAUGACCCAAAGGAACUUGCCAGAUUUGUUUUCACCUUAAAAACUAAAACAAACAUUGGUCAUCUUGGCACCAUCAGCCUCAUAAGCUGCAAUGUUGGAAAUGACCAACACUUCAUGUUGCAGUUCCUACAAAGUCUCCGGUCUUUUAGUGUGGAAACAAAGCUCAACCUAUACAACACACUCCUGUCAGUUAAUUCUGAUGGUGAUAUACUGACGACAACUAACGGUGUCUGGAGGUCCCAUGAGCACUACAGCACAGUCAUAGCUGAACUAAACCAAAGAGGUGAUCUGGUGAUAAAAAAGGAACUUGGCUGUCCAGGACCAGUAUUUCACAAUUAUAAAGGAAAUAUUUUGUAUCUGCAGACACUGGACUGGCCAAGCCACCCUCAAAUGUUUGUUCCAAUGGAACUGCGCAAAAAGUAUCACUUUAUCGACUGCCUGGAGGGGCUGACUUGGAGCUUGUUUUUUGAGGAAAACGAAAGAAGGCGUGCUCCUGAUUAUACCACAGAUGAUUCAAGACACCUAAAAGCAAUUUGGCUAGAAAAGCCAACGGCAGGAGAAGACAACAUUAUCCUGAAGCAUAUCAUAAGCAUUCAACAUCUGCUAGUGGAGAUACGGUACAAUGCCAGAGAAGAAAUUGCAUCGGACCUUUACUACAUUCUCAAUGAAUGCAUUUACAAAGUAAAUGGGAAAACUCUGAAUGUAACUCUGGCGGGAAAAUUCAUGAAUCCUGACAAUCAAGUGGAAAUUCAAAAUUUUCUUCAGAGCUUUAAGGACCAGCAGGACGAGUCCUCCCUGGAGAAGCUGAGAGAGGGUCUCAAACCAUCAAAAUUCAAUGACUUCUGUCGCCAAACCUUCCAGUUUCAGCAGUGUAAUUACAACUGUGAGAGAUGGGGUCAUUAUUUUAUGGCAGCUGUGUUUUCAGCAUCGGUGCGUAACUUCAGAACCUUCUCACUUUUCCUUAUGACUGUCAUUGGUUGUGAAGUAGGCCAUUCACGAGGAAGUGACAGUCCCUUGUGCACAGCAUUUGUGAGGGAUGACCACCCAAUGAUAACCGAUCAACCCUGGCCUGAACAUCUGAAACGAGGAUUCUAUGGCUGUGCCGUCGACAACUUUGAAAUGGCACCACAGAACAUGCAGAUUUGGUUAGAUCAAGUUGUUGCAAAGGAAAAUGCACUGUACAUUAAAUCAAAGCAGAUUAUGAGUGCUAUUAACCAUGAUGAGCAAACAGAGCUAGAUAUCUUUGGGAGGGUUAAAGUCAUGAAUAAGUACGCAUUUUCAUCUUAUCUUGAAUUCUUCCGAGGUACGCCCGAGGGGAAAAAACUCAAAAGAGGAUGUGCACCUUCUUUGCAUGGGAAUAUGAAUCUGUAA